UUAAAACUGCAUUUUCCCUCUGUGCUGCAGGAAGGGAAUGUACCCUCUGGGAUGAGUAGUAUGCAAAAUCAGGAGCAGAGGGAGUGCAGAAGUUAAAAGACUGAAGAAGACUUGGAGGAGAAGCCAGAAAAGAUAAGAUACAAACGGAAAGAGAAUCAUCAAAUAUGCCUGUGAUGCUGGUCUAAUUUUGGAGGCUUAAUCCAGUAGACUCAAUAGACUUUGCAAAGCAGGAUUUUUUAAGAAGAGCUACCUACAACCUUAUUUGCCUAUUUCCCAAAGUGCUGAUAAAUCUUGUUGCAAAAGGGAGCAGCCACUCUUGAGCAGGUACAGAGAUAUCCAAUCAAAACAUGACUCUUAUGAGCUUAAAGGAGAUUUAGAGCAAAGAAGCAAAUGAUCCUCCUGCCUGAGGAAUUAAAAACCACACUCAAAUGGAAAUCAACUUCCUUUCCAUAGAAAAUUGCUGAGACAAAAUCCAAAGCUUGCUGUCCUAGAACUAAAACAGGCUGGCCAGGAGUUGCUCUCUCUAAAACUUGGAAAUUGUGUUUUGCCUGUUUCAAGUGCCAAGCUUUUUUUACUUCCUAGACUUUCUCAGACUGUGAACAGUGGCUAGGGAUUCAUGUGGAAUUUGGAGUCUCUUUCUUACAAGAGGGGAAAUGCAAACUGGAGGAACCUAAUCUGCAGCUCUCUGGAACUCUACAGCUGAUACUAG
rnacentral:lncRNA from 1 species